AGCGAACGCUGGCGGCAGGCCUAACACAUGCAAGUCGAACGAACUCUUCGGAGUUAGUGGCGGACGGGUGAGUAACACGUGGGAACGUGCCUUUUGGUUCGGAAUAACUCAGGGAAACUUGUGCUAAUACCGAAUGUGCCCUUCGGGGGAAAGAUUUAUCGCCAUUAGAGCGGCCCGCGUCUGAUUAGCUAGUUGGUGAGGUAACGGCUCACCAAGGCGACGAUCAGUAGCUGGUCUGAGAGGAUGACCAGCCACACUGGGACUGAGACACGGCCCAGACUCCUACGGGAGGCAGCAGUGGGGAAUCUUGCGCAAUGGGCGAAAGCCUGACGCAGCCAUGCCGCGUGAAUGAUGAAGGUCUUAGGAUUGUAAAAUUCUUUCACCGGGGACGAUAAUGACGGUACCCGGAGAAGAAGCCCCGGCUAACUUCGAG
rnacentral:rRNA from 1 species